GUGCCAGCAGCCGCGGUAAUACGUAGGUGGCAAGCGUUGUCCGGAUUUAUUGGGCGUAAAGCGAGCGCAGGCGGUUUCUUAAGUCUGAUGUGAAAGCCCCCGGCUCAACCGGGGAGGGUCAUUGGAAACUGGGAGACUUGAGUGCAGAAGAGGAGAGUGGAAUUCCAUGUGUAGCGGUGAAAUGCGUAGAUAUAUGGAGGAACACCAGUGGCGAAGGCGGCUCUCUGGUCUGUAACUGACGCUGAGGCUCGAAAGCGUGGGGAGCGAACAGGAUUAGAUACCCUGGUAGUCCACGCCGUAAACGAUGAGUGCUAAGUGUUGGAGGGUUUCCGCCCUUCAGUGCUGCAGCAAACGCAUUAAGCACUCCGCCUGGGGAGUACGACCGCAAGGUUGAAACUCAAAGGAAUUGACGGGGGCCCGCACAAGCGGUGGAGCAUGUGGUUUAAUUCGAAGCAACGCGAAGAACCUUACCAGGUCUUGACAUCCUUUGACCACUCUAGAGAUAGAGCUUCCCCUUCGGGGGCAAAGUGACAGGUGGUGCAUGGUUGUCGUCAGCUCGUGUCGUGAGAUGUUGGGUUAAGUCCCGCAACGAGCGCAACCCUUAUUGUUAGUUGCCAUCAUUUAGUUGGGCACUCUAGCGAGACUGCCGGUGACAAACCGGAGGAAGGUGGGGAUGACGUCAAAUCAUCAUGCCCCU
rnacentral:rRNA from 1 species